ensembl:lncRNA
AUUCUUAGUAGGUUUCAUUCAUCAAAGCAUGACAAACGGUGUCCUGGGAGGAAUGCCUGGGAGCAGCUGAGAGCCAGAGGGGUUGGAUGGGGUGCAAAAGCCUCAUCUGAGGGGAAAAUCCAAUGCCUUCAAAGAGCUCUAGAUUGAGGGGAGACAUGGCCCUGCCCUCAGGGAGCUCCCUAUGAUAGAGGGUGCUACUCCCGCACCCAUUCAUUUAGCCCUCAGUGAGAUCCCAGUCUGAGUCAAUAUCCUGCCCUCAAGCAGCCUGUAAUCUGAUGGCAGAAAAAUACCACGUCACCCCUGCUGGAAAAGAUGUGGCGCCUGCCCAGGGCAGAGACUGAUAUGCAAGAUGAAAAAAGGGGCUGCCAGAGGGGUUCUCAGAAAUAUAGGCAGUCACCACCUGUGGGGAGCCUAAAGAGGGGGCUGGAGGGACACUCAUCUCGGCAUGCUUAUGGAGAAACAUGCAAAAGCUACAAAGGGGCAGCAGUGCAGACUGAGAUCCUAGAAGAUGAGGGAAAACGUGAAGGCUCAGGCCAGGUGGGCUGAUCUAAGCCAAGAGCUCAAAUGCCUUUGGGGACUUAAUCUGGCCACACUUGUCUCUGCCAAUGAGGAGGGCAGCCUGCACUGUCAUAGGAUCUUACAUUCAAUAUAAAAACCACAUACACACUGAAGGCCAAACAAAAUCUCACUAAAGAUUAAACUUGGCCCAAGGCCAUGAGUUUGCAACCCCUGGGCAUCAGGAAAGAGUUCCUGAUAGAAGAGAGUUUUGAGCCUGGUUUGGAUGAAGAGGCUGACAGCCAAGUUGCUCCCCUCAAGUCCUGGCCACCAGGCUUGGGUUCUGUGUCUUCAGGGCCUCCUCCCACCCUUCCUGGGAUGAAAGACUUGAGCCACUCAUCACCAGCUCACUUGCAACCAACAGGCCACAGCUGGUCGGCUGCCAAUACUCCCAGUCUGUGAUGGGGAUAUCAUCUUUCUUCACAGAAAUGUAAUUCCCCUGUUAGGAGAAGGAGCCUGUCCGACUCUUUAAAUGAGCUGAUCUGGAAGUUCUGGCUGGGUGGUCUUCCCUAAGAGCCUUACUUCUCUGAGCCUCAUGUGCAAAAUGGGAUACUAUUGCCCAGGCGCCCUAACCACCCCCGCCCCAAACAGUUAACUUUCCAAUAGACCUCAAUGGAGAGAGUCCUGCCCCAUUCCCCACUCUCCCAGUCCCUUCCAGCAGAGAUCUCAAAGACUGUAGCCUUACAGAAGGGGAGGGCCCCCUUCAGGCCUGGGUCAGGUCUCCAAGUCCUGCACCUCCCCACUCCCCAUCCCAGGUGGGGUCUCCUAACUCUCUCCUGGGACCAAGGUGCAGUCCCGGAGGGCGGCAGGAGGCUGCGGGAGGGGCCGAGGCGAGCACCCCUGGAGACAGGGGGCGAGGGACAGGGGACAGGUGACGGCGGUGUUCCAGGACCGGGGAGGGACGGCCUAAUUAUGGCGCGUUGGCCCAAUGCCACUGAGAGCCGCGGAAGAGAGCGGCGGUGGGUAAUUAGAGCACAUUAGCAGUGCCGCUGAAAUACUGUAAUUUUUCCGCGCGCUGCGGGUGUGUUGGAGGAGGUGAAGCGAUGCGGGCUCGGCUCUGAGUCAGACUCGCGGAAGCCCGGGUUGGGACGCAGGGGACGACAAAGGCUGCGGAGAAGGGACUCCUGCCCGGGGAGGGGCCGGCACUUUCCCCGGGCGAGGAGCCACCUGUUCGGGGCUGCUGGAGGAGCUUCCCCACUUCCGAGGACACAGUGGGCGGGGUCUGGGGGGCGGGGCAGCGAGGGGCGUGGCCAGAGCCUCGUCCCCCCUCCAGGGGGCGCUCCUAGGUCCUGCGGCUCUUUCCCCAGCUUCGAGUCCGGUCCCCUGCACCCAGCCAUGUGGCAGGCUCCCUGCGCGCAGGUGGACUGAAGGAGAUACUGAUGCAUCGCGCGAGGCAGAGGUCCCCCGAAUUCGGCCAGAGUCCGGCCAGUGAGAGGAAAAAAAAGUCAGAAACAUCAGGAAGGGAGUGGGAGAAGGGAGUUGAGGACGUGUGUUCCAGCAGAGCCCUGAAGUCAAUUCUAGGGGAGCUAGAGGGGAGCGAGCAGGGGGCUGAGGCUGGGAGGGGAGUUUAUUUAUUAGCCAGAUUAGCCAGUAUUAAUGGGGGAGCGGUGGUGGCCGGCGGCGGCCGGGGACAUAGCUGGCAUAGCUGGCAUAGCGGCGGGGCCUCCCGCGGCGCGGGGCUCAGGCGGCUUCAAAGGGGCUUAAAGAGGCCCGUGGUGGCACUGCCACGGCCCCGCGGGGGAGGGCGUGGGCGCGGGCGGCGGGGGAGAAGGCUGCCAUUGUGCACCGAGGGAUUAGGGAUCUGGCCUGGAAGGAAUUUUAAACUGCUGCGAGCCGGCGCCCCAGGACUCACCUCCUUCACUACUCCAGGAGCAGGAAGCUCGCUCACGUUUACCUCCAUUUCCAUGUCUGGGUGUGCGUGUGGUGGGGGUGUCCUCUUGCCCUCGGACUGGGGGCAUCUGGGGUUGUCAGCUUUGGCAAAUAACAGUACAGGAUGUCCAGUUAUAUUUGAAUUGCAAAUAAACAAUGAAUACUUUUUUAAAGUAUAAGUCUACCCCAUGUAUUAUAUGGGAUAUACUUAUACUAAAGUCAUUGUUUAUCUGAAAUUCAGAUUUAACUGGACACUUUUUUUUACGUCUUGUAUUCAUUUUUCUAGCAGCCCUAGAAUCACUGAAAUGUCUAGUAUAUGUCUGCAAUAGAUUGGGGGCUUCCUAAAAAUUCAGUGGGGCUGUGUGUCUCUCUACCCUGGGAUGGUAUGUUUUCUGAAGCCAGAUGCUGUGUUUCACCUUUCUGAAUGGAGUUCUGAUGGUAGUGUGUAUAUUUCCAUCACAGUAGAAGCUUCCUGAGGACAGAGGCUGAAUUUCAGAUUGGAGCUUUGAGGUCAACGUUUGUGCCUUUAUCCCACUGCAGGUUCCUGAGGUGGGGUCUUCGUACCUCCUGGAGAGCAAGUCUCUUCUUUUCUCUUCCCAGCACGUGGAGGCCCCUCCCCCUACUGGUGUAGCGUCCUGCCUACAGGGGGCGCUGGGGGCCCAGAGGACUGAACUGCAGCUGGAUGGGUCCUGUUUCUUGGCAUUAAGGGUUGCAGGUUCUUUAGAGCUGAAGGACCUGGGGACUUGGAGGGUGGGUCUUUAUUCAGUGUGGCUCUCGAACUGGUCCUGACCCCCCCUGCCUCAGCAGAAGCUGUGCCCAGCGUGUGGAAGAAUAUCUGAGUCUGGUUACCCACAGUUUUCUGCCAGGAAGGGGCAGGGUGGCACUCAGUGCAGAAUGGCCCUGCACCCCUCCUCUCUCCCCAAAACCACUGCUGCCAAGCCUCUGUCGUCCAUCAGCCUCACAAACCCCACCACCCAGCCUUUGCCUGUGCUGUCCUCUGUAACAGCACCCUCUGUUCCUGUCCUUGGGGACGGCUGAUGGCUCAUACACCUCCUGGAUGCUCUGGCCUUCAGCACGGAGAGAUUUGUAGACACAGAAAUACGGAGACCCACAGGGAAGAAGGUCACACGAUGAUGGAGGCAGAGACUGGAGUGAUGUGGCUCCAAGCCGAGGAACACCAAGGACUGUCUGCACCCACUAGAAGCUGGGAGAGAGGCACUGAACCGACUCUUCCUAGAGUCUCCAGAAGCAACCAGCCCUGCCAGCAUGGUGAUUUGGGACUGUGACCUCUUUUAUUUUUUUUAUUUUGGCUGCACUGAGCAGCUUGGGGGAUCUUUGUUCCCCAACCAAGGGUUGAACCCAGGCCCUUGGCAGUGAGAGUGUCAAGUCCUAACCACUGGGCCACCAGGGAAUUCCCUGGCCUUCUUAAUUAUGAGAGAAUAAAUCUGUGUUGUUUUAAGCC